rnacentral:misc_RNA from 1 species
GCCAAAUUUCGUGCAUGUAAUUUUCAAAGCAAGGGUAAGACUUUUCUUCCCUCUCUCUUCUCCUUCUCCAUCUUUUCUUUCUUUUUAUAUUUUCCUCCCUUCCAAACAGAUAGCGACAACUACAAGUGAAGUGAGCAAUCUUUAUUUUCCUUCGAAAAAACAAUCGAGGAGUUGUCAUAAGUGGCAAGUUCUACUGUACCGAUAUCUAGAAGCACCCACUGUACAGUCACAUUUAUCUAGAUCAACCGGACCCCACGUCCCAAAAAGAUCAACAAGUUUAAGCCUGGCCAGUGGCCCCACCUCACUUUCAC